rnacentral:rRNA from 1 species
GGGCCCGCACAAGCAGUGGAGUAUGUGGUUUAAUUCGAAGCAACGCGAAGAACCUUACCAGGCCUUGACAUCCCUCGAAUGGCAUAGAAAUAUGUCAGUCCUUCGGGACGAGGAGACAGGUGGUGCAUGGUUGUCGUCAGCUCGUGUCGUGAGAUGUUGGGUUAAGUCCCGCAACGAGCGCAACCCUUACUGUCAGUUGCCAGCACGUUAUGGUGGGAACUCUGGCGGGACUGCCGGUGAUAAAUCGGAGGAAGGUGGGGACGACGUCAAAUCAUCAUGCCCUUUAUGGUCUGGGCUACACACGUACUACAAUGGUCGUUACAAAGGGAAGCAAUACGGUAACGUGGAGCAAAUCCCCAAAAACGACCCCAGUUCGGAUUGUGGGCUGCAACUCGCCCACAUGAAGUAGGAAUUGCUAGUAAUUGCAGGUCAGCAUACUGCAGUGAAUACGUUCCCGGGCCUU